rnacentral:rRNA from 1 species
AUUGAACGCUGGCGGCAGGCCUAACACAUGCAAGUCGAGCGGAGCGGCGGACGGGUGAGUAAUGCCUAGGAAUCUGCCCGGUAGUGGGGGAUAACGUCCGGAAACGGGCGCUAAUACCGCAUACUAUCAGAUGAGCCUAGGGCGGAUUAGCUAGUUGGUGGGGUAAAGGCCUACCAAGGCGACGAUCCGUAGCUGCUCUGAGGGGAUGAUCAGUCACACUGGGACUGAGACACGGCCCAGACCCCUCGGGGAGGCAGCAGUGGGGAAUAUGCGAAAAUGGCCGAAAGUCGGACCGAGCAACGCCGCGUGAGUGAAGAAGGUUUGCGGAUCGGAAAACUCUGUAGUUAGGGAGGCGGUAUCAACACAAAAAGCCACGGCUAACUACGUGCCAGCAGCCGCGGUAAUUC